UAGAGGCAGGGGCGGGCGACGCAGAUCUGGGAGGGGAGGGGGUGAGGCGCCGACUGCCGAGGAUGAGCAGCUGCAGAUCGACUGCGAUGGCGAGGGCACGCUCUUCGUCGUCACCAAGUGCCGCGUUACGCCGGUAGUCGAUGGCACCGAAGCAGACUGAGAGCCUGAGAGGGAGUGCAUGCAUCAUGCAGCCGAGACAUCUGCUGAUUCUGUUCGGAGACCUGGAGCAGUAGAUCCAGGUUGUUGGAUGGUGGCAGUGGAGUCCUGCCCUGUGAACUGCAUCCGGUGGGUUCAGAGCCAGGAGCUGUCGAUGUUGGAGUUCCGGUCACGUCCACAUCCAAAGGAAGGCCAUGGCAUCUUCGGUGACGGGUGGGAGAGGCCAAGGAACGUGUUCGCAGCAGCCAAGAACUUGCCCAAGAAACUCGAAAGGGAGUAGCAGGAGUUGGAACGGGAGCAAUCCUCCAGAAGUCCCAAGGGUAAAAUGAAUCGAAGUUACUGCAGACCUGGGAGCUCAUGGAUCGCCAAAAUUCAGAUCCUACGAGCAUUGAUGUAAAGGCAUUAUUCAGAUUUCAGACCAAAAUUCAGAUCCUUGCUCAUUCUGAUGUAUACUGUGAUAACAGUGUUUACAAGAAAUAUUCUUGAUUACUGAGAAUUCUUUCUUGGAAUGAAUGUUUGGACAUGUAUUACUAU